rnacentral:rRNA from 1 species
AUUGAACGCUGGCGGCAGGCCUAACACAUGCAAGUCGAGCGAGCGGCGGACGGGUGAGUAAUGUCUGGGAAACUGCCUGAUGGAGGGGGAUAAAUACUGGAAACGGUAGCUAAUACCGCAUACCAUCAGAUGUGCCCAGAUGGGAUUAGCUGGUAGGUGGGGUAACGGCUAACCUAGGCGACGAUCCAUAGCUGGUCUGAGAGGAUGACCAGCCACCCUGGAACUGCGACACGGUCAUGACUCCUACGGGAGGCAGCAGUGGGGAAGAUUGCACAAUGGGAGCAAGCCUGAUGCAGCCAUGCCGCGUGUGUGAAGAAGGCCUUCGGGUUGUAAAGCACUUUCAGCGGGGAGGCGUUACCCGCAGAAGAAGCACCGGCUAACUCCGUGCCAGCAGCCGCGGUAAUUC